rnacentral:sRNA from 2 species
GCCCUGCUCUUGGGGGAGUAGUCUUCCGCAUCCGAUAAAUUCGGAUCGGAGUUACCGUCAACAUAAUUGAGCCUCAAUGCUCAUGGCGGUGACGUCCACGCAAACGUGGAU